rnacentral:rRNA from 1 species
AAAGCGGAGGAAAAGAAAGUAACAAGGAUUCCCCUAGUAACGGCGAGUGAAGUGGGAAAAGCUCAACUUUGAAAUCUGGCACCUUCGGUGUCCGAAUUGUAGUCUCAAGAAGUGUUUUCUGUGCCGGUCCAUGUAUGAGUCUGUUGGAACACAGCGUCAUAGAGGGUGACAACCCCGUUCAUGACAUGGAUACCGGUGCUCUGUGAUACACUCUCGAAGAGUCGAGUUGUUUGGGAAUGCAGCUCAAAUUGGGUGGUAAAUUCCAUCUAAAGCUAAAUAUUGGCGAGAGACCGAUAGCGAACAAGUACCGUGAGGGAAAGAUGAAAAGCACUUUGGAAAGAGAGUUAACAGUACGUGAAAUUGUUGAAAGGGAAACGAUUGAAGUCAGACGUGCGUGAUGCGGUUCAGCUCUGGUUCGCCAGAGUGUAUUCCGUAUCUUUGCAGGCCAACAUCAGUUUCGAUAGUCGGAUAAAGAUUAGUUGAAUGUGGCACCUUCGGGUGUGUUAUAGCUUCUAAUUGAAUACGAUUGUUGGGACUGAGGAACGCAGCGCGCCGCAAGGCAAAGGUUCCGACCUUUUCGCGCUUAGGAUGUUGGUGAAAUGGCUUUAAACGACCCGUCUUGAA